CCCGGCCCUCCGCGGUGCCCCAGGGGUUCUCCGCGCGCCCGCUCGCGUUGGGUUCUGGUCUCGUGCAGUCCCGGAGCCUUUGUUUGAAACGAGGAGGCCACGGAGCCGAGGAUGCGGCUUUGAGCGGGCAAGGCGCCAAAAAGAAGAGAUCCAGAUCACAUUUGCGUGGUCCGGGCUCCGGUCCCCGGCCCGGCUCAGCCGGCCGGAAAGAACAAAACGAAACGGCAGGAAAAAAUCAGUAAAGAAAACCGUUGUUUUGCGCGGAAAGCCGUUGGAGUCUUCGGAAGGGGACCAGUUUUUACUCUGGUCAGCCUGGUUGUUUCUCCAUUUCUGACGUUCCCCGAAGGAGACGCUGAGGAUUGGUUGACAAAUCAGAUGUGUGGUGCACGGACGUUUCCAGCAAGGUCAACUGGAAGACUCAUGUCCAGAGUGGAGACAGCUUGCCCCAACAGGCAGAGGUGAAGCUGGCUCCGGAGACGCAUCGGGCAGAGGGUGGUGGCGCCAAGCUUGGUGGAGCCCAGUUAAAUCUGGCACAUCUGUCCCAGGCCUCCUGAUGGUUGGAAGGUAAGGCUCCCACCAUCCUGUUAUGUGGCUUAGAAAGGGAAGCAGCUUGGCCAAAGUCACACAGU
rnacentral:lncRNA from 1 species